rnacentral:rRNA from 1 species
CGAACGGUAACAGAAAGCAGCUUGCUGCUUUGCUGACGAGUGGCGGACGGGUGAGUAAUGUCUGGGAAACUGCCUGAUGGAGGGGGAUAACUACUGGAAACGGUGGCUAAUACCGCAUAACGUCGCAAGACCAAAGAGGGGGACCUUCGGGCCUCUUGCCAUCAGAUGUGCCCAGAUGGGAUUAGCUAGUUGGUGAGGUAACGGCUCACCAAGGCGACGAUCCCUAGCUGGUCUGAGAGGAUGACCAGCCACACUGGAACUGAGACACGGUCCAGACUCCUACGGGAGGCAGCAGUGGGGAAUAUUGCACAAUGGGCGCAAGCCUGAUGCAGCCAUGCCGCGUGUAUGAAGAAGGCCUUCGGGUUGUAAAGUACUUUCAGCGGGGAGGAAGGUGUUGUGGUUAAUAACCGCAGCAAUUGACGUUACCCGCAGAAGAAGCACCGGCUAACUCCGUGCCAGCAGCCGCGGUAAUACGGAGGGUGCAAGCGUUAAUCGGAAUUACUGGGCGUAAAGCGCACGCAGGCGGUCUGUCAAGUCGGAUGUGAAAUCCCCGGGCUCAACCUGGGAACUGCAUUCGAAACUGGCAGGCUUGAGUCUUGUAGAGGGGGGUAGAAUUCCAGGUGUAGCGGUGAAAUGCGUAGAGAUCUGGAGGAAUACCGGUGGCGAAGGCGGCCCCCUGGACAAAGACUGACGCUCAGGUGCGAAAGCGUGGGGAGCAAACAGGAUUAGAUACCCUGGUAGUCCACGCCGUAAACGAUGUCUACUUGGAGGUUGUGCCCUUGAGGCGUGGCUUCCGGAGCUAACGCGUUAAGUAGACCGCCUGGGGAGUACGGCCGCAAGGUUAAAACUCAAAUGAAUUGACGGGGGCCCGCACAAGCGGUGGAGCAUGUGGUUUAAUUCGAUGCAACGCGAAGAACCUUACCUGGUCUUGACAUCCACGGAAGUUUUCAGAGAUGAGAAUGUGCCUUCGGGAACCGUGAGACAGGUGCUGCAUGGCUGUCGUCAGCUCGUGUUGUGAAAUGUUGGGUUAAGUCCCGCAACGAGCGCAACCC